GAACAGCCAAUCAAGGGCAUCUUCUGACCCCAUUCUGAGCUGUAGAAAUGGGGCUAUGGGUACCACCUGGAUGAGAGAGGGGAUGCUGGCUUCCUAUUCCGGGAGCACUGCAGGUUUUGGACUAGCUCCGAACCAAGCCAGUUCUGUUGGUGGAUGCAUGGAUGCAUGAAAAAUCUGUCCAUGCAUUCUCCCACUGAUUUCUUCCAUCACUUAAGGAAUUUCUGUUCUAAGAUUUUUUAAAUUGUACGAAUUUAGGAGGUACAUAUGCAGUUUUGUUACAUGCAUAGGUUUCAUAGUGGUCAAGUUAGGGCUGUUAGGGUAUUUAUCACCUGUGCAACAUACAUUGUACCCAUUAAGUCAUUUCUCAUCAUUCAACCCCCCUUCUGCUCCUUCACUCUCUGAGUCUCCACUCUCUAUCAUUCCUCUCUCUACGUUCAUGUGUACACAUUUUGUAGCACUCACAUAUGAAUGAGAACAUGCGAUAUUUGACUUUCUGAGCCAUCACUUAAAAAUUGAUUCAUUCAUCCGUGUAUCUUUUCAUCAAUUCAUUCUAAAGAAUUCAUUCUAAUUCAUUAAUUCACCUGUAUACUCACUGAUUCUUUCGUUUAUAAUUCAUCCAAGGGCGUAUACUGUCAUUCAUUUAUUUGGAUUACUUGAUCCACAAGUUGAUCCUUUGAAACACUGACAAAUAGAUGGACUAUUUGUCAUUGAUUGACUCAUUCAUGCAUUCAUCCAUCCUUCUAUGAACUAGAUUUUACCCUUAUCCUUCCAUCAGUCAGUAUUUCAAUUCCCCCGUAAUCCACCCAUGUAUUCCUUCAUUUAUUACAAUAAUUCACUCAUUUAUUCAACUCUGAUUUAUCAUUCAAUCCAGCCAUUCGUUUAUUCCUUUAUUUAUUCAUACUUCACGAAUUUACUUAUUCACCUGUUGUUCCAUAAAUCUAGCCCUUCAUGUGAUUAUUCAUUAAUUGGGCUCAUUGAUUUCCUUGUCUAUUCAUUAGCCAUUCAUUAGUGAUUAAUUAAUCAAUCCAUCUAUUAAUUGAUAAAUAAAUAUAUACAUCCAUUUAUUGGUUUGUUCAUUUAUUCAUCAGUCUUUCCACCCAUGAAUUGAUCUAUUGAUUGACUGAUUGAUGUAUUUAUCUAUCCAGUUGUUCAUGGAUUCAUUUAUUAUUCUAUUACACUAUUAUAUUCCUGAGGACCAUGUAUAGUGCCUCACCUAAAAUAUACACACAGUAAAUAUUUAUUCAUUUUCUA